rnacentral:rRNA from 1 species
UAGGGAAUCUUCGGCAAUGGACGAAAGUCUGACCGAGCAACGCCGCGUGAGUGAAGAAGGUUUUCGGAUCGUAAAACUCUGUUGUUAGAGAAGAACAAGGACGUUAGUAACUGAACGUCCCCUGACGGUAUCUAACCAGAAAGCCACGGCUAACUACGUGCCAGCAGCCGCGGUAAUACGUAGGUGGCAAGCGUUGUCCGGAUUUAUUGGGCGUAAAGCGAGCGCAGGCGGUUUCUUAAGUCUGAUGUGAAAGCCCCCGGCUCAACCGGGGAGGGUCAUUGGAAACUGGGAGACUUGAGUGCAGAGGAGGAGAGUGGAAUUCCAUGUGUAGCGGUGAAAUGCAUAGAUAUAUGGAGGAACACCAGUGGCGAAGGCGGCUCUCUGGUCUGUAACUGACGCUGAGGCUCGAAAGCGUGGGGAGCAAACAGG